UAAAGUGGCGAACGGCUGAGUAACACGUGGGCAACCUGCCCCUCCUCAUUGGGAUAGCCACGGGAAACCGUGGAUAAUACCGAAUACUUCGAGUCUCCCGCAUGGAAAACUCGAGAAAGCUCCGGCGGAGAGGGAUGGGCCCGCGGCCUGUUAGCUUGUUGGUGGGGUAACGGCCUACCAAGGCAAUGAUGGGUAGCUGGGUUGAGAGACCGACCAGCCAGAUUGGGACUGAGACACGGCCCAG
rnacentral:rRNA from 1 species